GGGUUGUGAGGUUAAGUGACUAAGCGUACACGGUGGAUGCCUAGGCAGUCAGAGGCGAUGAAGGGCGUGCUAAUCUGCGAAAAGCGUCGGUAAGGUGAUAUGAACCGUUACAACCGGCGAUACCCGAAUGGGGAAACCCAGUGUGUUUCGACACACUAUCAUGUCAUGAAUACAUAGUGGCAUGAGGCGAACCGGGGGAACUGAAACAUCUAAGUACCCCGAGGAAAAGAAAUCAACCGAGAUUCCCCCAGUAGCGGCGAGCGAACGGGGAGGAGCCCAGAACCUGAAUCGGCUUGUGUGUUAGUGGAAGCGUCUGGAAAGUCGCGCAGCAAAGGGUGAUAGCCCCGUACACUAAAAUGCACAGGUCGUGAGUUCGAUGAGUAGGGCGGGACACGUGACAUCCUGUCUGAAUAUGGGGGGACCAUCCUCCAAGGCUAAAUACUCCUGACUGACCGAUAGUGAACCAGUACCGUGAGGGAAAGGCGAAAAGAACCCCGGCGAGGGGAGUGAAAUAGAACCUGAAACCGUGUACGUACAAGCAGUGGGAGCACCUUCGUGGUGUGACUGCGUACCUUUUGUAUAAUGGGUCAGCGACUUAUAUUUUGUAGCAAGGUUAACCGUAUAGGGGAGCCGUAGGGAAACCGAGUCUUAACUGGGCGAAUAGUUGCAAGGUAUAGACCCGAAACCCGGUGAUCUAGCCAUGGGCAGGUUGAAGGUUGGGUAACACUAACUGGAGGACCGAACCGACUAAUGUUGAAAAAUUAGCGGAUGACUUGUGGCUGGGGGUGAAAGGCCAAUCAAACCGGGAGAUAGCUGGUUCUCCCCGAAAGCUAUUUAGGUAGCGCCUCGUGAACUCAUCUUCGGGGGUAGAGCACUGUUUCGGCUAGGGGGCCAUCCCGGCUUACCAAACCGAUGCAAACUCCGAAUACCGAAGAAUGUUAUCACGGGAGACACACGGCGGGUGCUAACGUCCGUCGUGAAGAGGGAAACAACCCAGACCGCCAGCUAAGGUCCCAAAGUCAUGGUUAAGUGGGAAACGAUGUGGGAAGGCACAGACAGCCAGGAUGUUGGCUUAGAAGCAGCCAUCAUUUAAAGAAAGCGUAAUAGCUCACUGGUCGAGUCGGCCUGCGCGGAAGAUGUAACGGGGCUAAACCAUGCACCGAAGCUGCGGCAGCGACGCUUAGGCGUUGUUGGGUAGGGGAGCGUUCUGUAAGCCGUUGAAGGUGGCCUGUGAGGGUUGCUGGAGGUAUCAGAAGUGCGAAUGCUGACAUAAGUAACGAUAAAGCGGGUGAAAAGCCCGCUCGCCGGAAGACCAAGGGUUCCUGUCCAACGUUAAUCGGGGCAGGGUGAGUCGACCCCUAAGGCGAGGCUGAAAAGCGUAGUCGAUGGGAAACAGGUUAAUAUUCCUGUACUUGGUGUUACUGCGAAGGGGGGACGGAGAAGGCUAGGCUAGCCGGGCGACGGUUGUCCCGGUUUAAGCGUGUAGGGGGUGUGACCUGGUAAAUCCGGUUGCAUACUAACCCUGAGGCGUGAUGACGAUGCACUACGGUGCAGAAGUAGUUGAUGCCCUGCUUCCAGGAAAAUCCUCUAAGCUCCAGGUAACAUUNNNNNNNNNNNNNNNNNNNNNNNNNNNNNNNNNNNNNNNNNNNNNNNNNNNNNNNNNNNNNNNNNNNNNNNNNNNNNNNNNNNNAAGCCAGUCGAAGAUACCAGCUGGCUGCAACUGUUUAAUAAAAACACAGCACUGUGCAAACACGAAAGUGGACGUAUACGGUGUGACGCCUGCCCGGUGCUGGAAGGUUAAUUGAUGGGGUCAGCCGCAAGGCGAAGCUCUUGAUCGAAGCCCCAGUAAACGGCGGCCGUAACUAUAACGGUCCUAAGGUAGCGAAAUUCCUUGUCGGGUAAGUUCCGACCUGCACGAAUGGCGUAAUGAUGGCCAGGCUGUCUCCACCCGAGACUCAGUGAAAUUGAACUCGCUGUGAAGAUGCAGUGUACCCGCGGCAAGACGGAAAGACCCCGUGAACCUUUACUAUAGCUUGACACUGAACAUUGAGCCUUGAUGUGUAGGAUAGGUGGGAGGCUUUGAAGCGUGGACGCCAGUCUGCGUGGAGCCAUCCUUGAAAUACCACCCUUUAAUGUUUGAUGUUCUAACUCUGCCCCAUAAUCUGGGGUGAGGACAGUGUCUGGUGGGUAGUUUGACUGGGGCGGUCUCCUCCCAAAGAGUAACGGAGGAGCACGAAGGUUAGCUAAUCACGGUCGGACAUCGUGAGGUUAGUGCAAAGGCAUAAGCUAGCUUGACUGCGAGAGUGACGGCUCGAGCAGGUACGAAAGUAGGUCUUAGUGAUCCGGUGGUUCUGAAUGGAAGGGCCAUCGCUCAACGGAUAAAAGGUACUCCGGGGAUAACAGGCUGAUACCGCCCAAGAGUUCAUAUCGACGGCGGUGUUUGGCACCUCGAUGUCGGCUCAUCACAUCCUGGGGCUGAAGUAGGUCCCAAGGGUAUGGCUGUUCGCCAUUUAAAGUGGUACGCGAGCUGGGUUUAGAACGUCGUGAGACAGUUCGGUCCCUAUCUGCCGUGGGCGUUGGAAGAUUGAGAGGGGUUGCUCCUAGUACGAGAGGACCGGAGUGAACGCACCACUGGUGUUCGGGUUGUCAUGCCAAUGGCAUUGCCCGGUAGCUAAGUGCGGAAAAGAUAAGCGCUGAAAGCAUCUAAGCGCGAAACUUGCCUCAAGAUGAGUCUUCCCUGGGCCUUUAAGGCCCCUGAAGGAACGUUUAAGACUAAGACGUUGAUAGGCUGGGUGUGUAAGUGCAGCGAUGCAUUGAGCUAACCAGUACUAAUGAUCCGUGAGGCUUAACCUUACAACACCGAAGGUGUUUUAG
rnacentral:rRNA from 1 species